GAGGGAGUUUCUGGUUUUGCAUGAAGCAGCAGAACAUGAUGAAGCAUUUUUCCCCCAUCUAAAGAUCCAGUCGUGCUCCAGUUUGCAGAGGGCAAGGGGCUGGUUGCAGGUGGUGCUGGGAGGAUGGAGUAGAGAUGGGGUUUCACCGUGUUAACCAGGAAUGUCUCGAUCUCCUGACCUCGUGAUCCACCCGCCUCAGCCUCCCAAAGUGUUGGGAUUACAGGCGUGAGCUACCACGCCCGGCCCUAGGCUCCACAACUCUAAGAAGCUUUGUGGGGGCUUAUUUGGCCUCCCCAGGAUGGACUGGAGCAUCAGUAGUGCCCGGGUUUAUCACAGGACAGAUACUCAAGACACUCUUAUCACCAUUAGGUGGACUUGGAGGAGCAAAAAACAAGUGCAGUGGCUCCUCAGCAGAGACACUCCUGAAUGUAUAGACAUGGGAACCACCUUCAGCAUCAAAAAAGGAAACGUUCUGCAUGCCCAUAUCCAGAAAAAUCCCCACUCGCUGUAACUUGCGGUCUACGAAGAGGAAAGUCAGCGGCACCGUGCUGGCAGAGAGGCGGCUUCCAUCCCUCAAACUCACAGUCCAGAAUCCACGCUCUGUGGUCAGAUGGAUCCUCCCUUUGCGGUGAACAGAUUCUCUGCAGACUCCCAGGUCCCAUUCUGUGCUUGUUCCCACGUCCACCUCCCAGUAGUGGCGGCCACAGGUAAAGCGAGGGGAGCCCAGGAUGCAAAUGGACACGUCAAAUCUCUCGGCAAGGUCUUGCCGAUUCUGUGUGAUGCACCCACUUCGGACGCUCCUGAGGUCGUCAGAAAUGAGGAGGAAGUUGUUGGCUGUGUCGGCAUCCAAGGUCAUAUCCACUGUGAAAAGGAAAAAAAGUUGAUCAGAAAAUGGACAGAAGCCAACCCCAUGCCUCUCCUCUACUUCAAAGGCCCAAAUAUCUCUUGACUUUGGUUUCUUUAAUUCUCUUCUUCCCCCAAAAUCAAAACUUUUCAUGAGGCAACUUCCCUGACUAGUUCAAAUUCUCAUAGGUAUGCUUUGUGGCAAUACCCAACUCUUAUUCACAGUAGCAAUUAUUUUACUUUAUGUCACGUGUUUGCUUCAUUGGACUUUUCUUCAUUUAGAGUGGAGGGUCUCUGAAGGCAGACACCAUGACCCCCUUUCUACCACCUUGAUGCAUGAAAAAAUGAAUGAUAAUUAAGACAAUGCAAAUGGUCGAUGUUAAAUAUGUUUCUGCUUCCAUCUUGUAUUGCUCAACUCAGUAUAUAGAGCAUGAUUCCAGGCCUUUGUUUUCCAUGUUUGUAAGCAAAUUAAUUGUGCAUGGUUCUGACAGCAGGUAGGGUAUCUCUGCAGCUGACAAUGUGAUGACAGAGGUGCCGGUCCUGGACAUUAGGAGGCUCCAAGGCCAGGAGGAAGAGGGGGGCCUUAGAUGAAAGAAUGUUUUCCAUCCUACAUGGGAGGUGAAACCUUAAGCAAAACAAUGGUAAAUUUUGGAGUGAAGAGAAAGGUAUUUGAAAGUUGUUUGUUGGCUGAGCGCGGUGGCUCACACCUGUAAUCCCAGCACUUUGGGAGGCCGAGACGGGUGGAUCACGAGGUCAGGAGAUCGAGACCAUCCUGGCUAACACGUGAAACCCU
ensembl:lncRNA RFPL1S RFPL1 antisense RNA 1